rnacentral:rRNA from 1 species
UGGGGAAUAUUGCGCAAUGGGCGAAAGCCUGACGCAGCAACACCGCGUGAGGGAUGACGGCCUUCGGGUUGUAAACCUCUUUCAGCUCCGACGAAGCGAAAGUGACGGUAGGAGCAGAAGAAGUCCCGGCUAACUCCGUGCCAGCAGCCGCGGUAAUACGUAGGGUGCAAGCGUUGUCCGGAAUUAUUGGGCGUAAAGAGCUCGUAGGCGGUCCGUUGCGUCUGCCGUGAAAACCCGGAGCUCAACUCCGGGCCUGCGGUGGAUACGGGCGGACUAGAGUCCGGUAGGGGAGACUGGAAUUCCUGGUGUAGCGGUGGAAUGCGCAGAUAUCAGGAGGAACACCGGUGGCGAAGGCGGGUCUCUGGGCCGGAACUGACGCUGAGGAGCGAAAGCGUGGGGAGCGAACAGGAUUAGAUACCCUGGUAGUCCACACCGUAAACGAUGAAUGCCAGUCGUCGGGUAGCAUGCUAUUCGGUGACACACCUAACGGAUUAAGCAUUCCGCCUGGGGAGUACGGUCGCAGA